rnacentral:piRNA from 1 species
UACACUUCCUCAACCCUAGUCAUGAUUGGU